rnacentral:lncRNA from 1 species
CGGCGCGCAAUCAUUCCGAGAGCUGCAGAAUUCCCUGGUAGACGCUGGCGGGAAAGCCGCUCCUCCAGGACUUUCCUUCUCUAUUUUCUAUCUGCUCAAUUCAAAGACAAGUGCUAUUUCCACUGACUGUUGUCUGUACAUGACCCCGAAUAGAAGCAGUGACCCAUGGCUCUUCAUUAAAAUGGUCCUGAGACUAAAAACAAAACGUCCAAGGCAUGCCCUCAAUAAAAAGAAAGAAAGCGAGAAUGAAACUGUAGACAGAUACACAGUGUCCUGGAAGGAGUUUUAGUGGAGGAUUCCACUCAUCCAUCACUUCGUGUCCUGCGUCUCUUUGAAAUUCCUUGAGCUGACCCAGCUGCCGUUCAAUAAACACUCCAGUGUGGGGGUGACAAAUGUAAUUUUCACCUAAACUGCGUUGCCGUCAUUCUAAUAUAAAGGCUUGCCUCUUUGAAAUACA